UCGUAUGCUUAUGAAGCCCCGGCAUCCUACCGUAGGGUGGGUGCGAAAUUGAGUUGGCAGAUGUGUUAGGGUUAAUCCGCCCAAUGAAACGAUAAACACCGAACUGAGACUAUAACUGUCAAAAUUAGGCUGGGAAGCAAGGUGAUCGAAAAUUGGAUGUAAGGCAAGGCGAAGCCGAGGCACAUUGACUGCACGCUGAGGAAAACCUGUGUUAUUGACAUGGUGACUGGCUAGUAGCCGAUGAACUACAUUGAGGCCUGAUUGAUCGAGUUAAGCAAAAUGCCUAAGAAAAGUGUCACGAAGGAGUGUCCCGGAUGCGAGCGACAGCUCCCGGUAGCGUGCAAGACAUGCCCGUGCGGCCACUCGUUCCGGAAGCCGAGCGACUCGACAUCGGUGCCUACCCGGCUUUCCAGCUCGUCUAAGGAGGGCGAGUCUCCCGCCAGGCGGCGCACUGAGCGCGUUAAGCGUGAGAAGCCGAAGUUCUAUGACGCCAGCCAAUACGAGCGUGCCCCCAGAAAACGAAAACCGAAGGUGAUAGUGGAGCCUGAAGUCAAGAAGGUUCGGAUCGACGAAAGACGUUCAUUUAAGGAAAAAGAAAAGGAACGAGAAGAUAAUGGAGCUGGUGCUGCCGGCGAAGAACAAGAAAUUGUGUAUGAGGACAUAAUGGCAGACGCAACGAGGGAGGAAACCGCCAAAUAUGCCAUUGUGCUCUCCGAAAUAAACCGCAAACUGGCUGUAGUAAACCCUACCUUUUGAAUCCAAGGUGUUCAAUGCGACCGAGCUCUGUGUGUGAACAAGUGUCGCUUCAGUGAGUUGUGCAAGUGCUCCUGUAAGCGUCCCUUGUGCGUUCCAUGAUUGAAGGGUUUUGAUGUAAAAGUGACGGUUGUGUUUCGCUAUCAUGCCAUGUACAACUGUAGAAAAGUUUGUUAAGAUUGUAGCCAUACACCAUGCCAUUUGUAUUUUGUAAAAAGCACAAUUAUCGCGGCACGUUUUUGAAGUGUUGAAUCCAUGAGACAUCAUUUUCUUUUUAUAUUUUGCUGGUGCAGUAUCAUAUUUCGGGUUUUGCUUUUGGUUCUGGCAUACGCGCAACUCAAAGCAGUGCAUAUUUCGAUGGGAGAGCGACUGGACUUCCUGUAGCGUGCACGUGUAUGUGAACCGAAGUGUGUCAUCCGUGCCUCGUGAAGAAUUGCUCUGUAGAAUUGUCCAAGAAUUUGGAUUUGUGGCAUUUGACGUAUGAGUCCAUCCGCCACCAGUUUCCGUCGCUAUGUUCCUUCGUUGAAAAUAAAAAUGUGAUACCAUCCUGA